rnacentral:rRNA from 1 species
UACGUAGGGGGCAAGCGUUGUCCGGAAUCAUUGGGCGUAAAGCGCGUGUAGGCGGCCAGAAAAGUCCGCUGUGAAAACUCGAGGCUCAACUUCGAGCUGUCGGUGGAAACUUUCUGGCUAGAGUCCGGAAGAGGAGAAUGGAAUUCCUGGUGUAGCGGUGAAAGUGCGCAGAUAUCAGGAAGAACACCCGUGGCGAAGGCGGUUCUCUGGGACGGUACUGACGCUGGAGACGCGAAAGCGUGGGGAGCGAACAGG